GAAGCAGUAAGCAAAGGGGUGUGCAGUGGGAUGCUGGAAAAUUCUGGGUUUCCUCUCCCUAAACCGAAGAUAUUUGAGAAGUGCCAAGAUGCUGAAGAGCAAGUCAGGGGGUCCUGCCUUCCUUCUGCUAGAGGGCUGCCUGCCUGUGUGAAGCCUUCUCUAACUUGGUGGAACCGAGGACCUACUUAAUAGCUAACAUUUAUGAAAGACUUAACUAUGUGCCACACAGUGUUCUGAACACUGCAUGUGAAUCAACUCGUUUAGCACAACUACUAUGAGAAGUAGUUAUCCCUUUUUACAGUAGCUGACCUACUCAGACUGCACUCUGCAGAUGGCAGCAGUAGCAACAGCAGAAGCUUACUAAAAAUGCAGGACAGCAAGCCCACCCCAGACCUUCUGAUUCAGGAUCUGCAUUGUAAUAAAUUCCUCAGGUGAUUGUAUGCACACUGCAAUCUGAAAAGCACCAAUCUACAGAGUAUUUUUCCUCUGGUUUUAUAAGGGACAUUAAAAUGAAUAUGUGGAGUUAAAGAAUUCUCUACAUACAAUUCAGUCCAUGUCAAAAAUUUCUUUUAAAUUUGAUGCUAA